rnacentral:rRNA from 1 species
AUGUACUAUGUGAAGGAGGAGGAAAUUGGAUCUGAAAGAGUAAAGUAUUUAGGUAAUGAAGCUAGUGUUCAUGAAAUGUUGGACUUUUUUCAUCAUGUCAAGGUUGUGAGAAAUGUUGAACAUGGAAUUAGUACACAGGCUAAUGAGAAUUACAUGAACACUCAAGAGAGCUGCUGUGUGAAAAAGGUUGUGGAGCAAUCUGAGCUUCCGAAUCAGAUAGAUGAUAGAAAGGCUCAACUUGAGAGGAGCAGGAUUCAAUGA